rnacentral:rRNA from 1 species
UGGGGAAUAUUGCACAAUGGAGGGAACUCUGAUGCAGCGACGCCGCGUGAACGAAGAAGGCUUUCGAGUCGUAAAGUUCUUUUAUAUGGGAAGAUAAUGACGGUACCAUAAGAAAAAGCCACGGCUAACUACGUGCCAGCAGCCGCGGUAAUACGUAGGGGGCUAGCGUUGUCCGGAAUCACUGGGCGUAAAGGGUUCGCAGGCGGAAAUGCAAGUCAGGUGUAAAAGGCAGUAGCUUAACUACUGUAAGCAUUUGAAACUGCAUAUCUUGAGAAGAGUAGAGGUAAGUGGAAUUUUUAGUGUAGCGGUGAAAUGCGUAGAUAUUAAAAAGAAUACCGGUGGCGAAGGCGACUUACUGGUCUCAUUCUGACGCUGCGGAACGAAAGCGUGGGUAGCAAACAGG